rnacentral:rRNA from 1 species
UGAACGCUAGCGGCAGGCUUAACACAUGCAAGUCAGGGGCAGCGAGAUUGAUGCUUGCAUCAAUUGUCGGCGACCGGCGCACGGGUGCGUAACAGGUGUGCAAUCUGUCCUAUACCAGAGCAUAGCCCAGCGAAAGUUGGAUUAAUUCUCUAUGUGAGCCGAGAGGGCAUCCUUUUGGUUUGAAACGCGAGGGUAUAGGGUGAGCACGCUUCUGAUUAGCUAGUUGGUGAGGUAACGGCUCACCAAGGCGACGAUCAGUAGGGGUUCUGAGAGGAAGGUCCCCCACAUUGGAACUGAGACACGGUCCAAACUCCUACGGGAGGCAGCAGUGAGGAAUAUUGGUCAAUGGACGGAAGUCUGAACCAGCCAAGUCGCGUGAAGGAUGAAGGUUCUAUGGAUUGUAAACUUCUUUUGUCUGAGGGUAAAAAAGGCCACGUGUGGCUUCUUGCAAGUAUCAGACGAAUAAGCAUCGGCUAACUCCGUG